rnacentral:tRNA from 1 species
GGAGAGAUGGCUGAGCGGUCAAAAGCAGCAGACUGUAAAUCUGCCGGGCUUUGCCCUACGGAGGUUCGAAUCCUCCUCUCUCCACCA